CUAGAAAAGAGUGAGCUGGGAGGUUUAAUAGAGUCAAAGAGAGAGAGAGACUUUAAUUCAAAUGGGCACGGAGGCUGCUGCUGUGACAGUGAGGGACCUUGUAAGGAUCAAUACAUGUUGGUUCCUGUGAACUGUUGUACAGAACCCUGGGGCACUGGCAUUGGAAGAAUGAUGAACUCUGGCUUCCAGAAAGUCAUAGCCCUAGCAUUUGACAUGAAGACAACUUUCAGAGAGUGAGUAACCAGGCAUAUCAAGUCUGCGUGGUCCAGUCUCCCCUCGGAUGCAUUAAAUCUUCUGCAUACACACUCCAGCUGAAAGUCUGCAGAUGGACCGCCCAUGAGAUUGCCCUUAGACAGUUCCUCCUCCCCAACUGAGAAGUUCCUCUUUUAGUUGGUGCCAGGGGCUCUUUCUUCUAAGCUUUCAUCAAAGGCCUUACAUUGAAGGACUAACAUCCUAAGAUUGGCGCCAGUCAGGAGCAGUGAUUGAUAAUAGACAUCUUGGGAUGAAGAAGCCAUCUUUAUGCUGAUUGUGAUGAUUAUGCACCAAGGUAAAUACUCUAAAAUCCAUUUCCACUGUAUAAUCAACUGGGUUCCCCAAGCUGGUCUUUUUGUACUGCAUGGUUGAGUAAAGCUUUUGCUGUUUGCCUUGACAGAUGGAGCAGAUUGCUUUCAAUCAAUGCAGCACUUUCUUGUCAUUGUUUUAAUGUAGGAAUUGUAGGGGAAACUGGUGUCCCAGUGUGUUGGAUGGUUGCAGAACCUGACCUCUGUGGUGGGUGAUGCCUAGCUUGGUGUUGUUGGUUCAUGUGUUUUACCCAGUUGGGGUCACUUUCAACUCAAGUCUGGACAAUGUAGAGUACUUACUUUUUUUUCAUGGGAGGGUUAGGACAACAAGAUGCUCUUUCUAUGAUACAUACUCUGUUGAUAGUGGGUGUAGCUUUGAGUUGUCAGCAAAAAUGUCCUUGACCUUUCAUGUUUCAAGUGGAAAAGUUAACUAUAUAAGUGUAAUCUAUACUUAACUUACAUAGGAAAGAUGUUGUCUCCAUAGAAUUUGGACCCUUCUCUCUACUGCCAAGCUUGAAGCUUGGUAAAUGCAGUCAUGCAACACAUAAUAUUUUGGUCACGCAUGGAGAACACACACAAUGGAGGACCCAUAUGGUUAUAUCAUCUAGAAAGAUCAAAGGCAACUUUAUUUGUGCAUUUGUACUGUGUUUACACAAUGAAGUUAGUUAUCCAAAAACAUGUCUCCUAAUCUUUGAGGGAUGCUGUUACUGCUAGUACCUUAAUGAUUAACAAAUUACCUUUCCAAUAAUCUUGUCUUUGGGAAUAGAAUUUCUAUCACUCAGAGUUACUUUGUAAGCCUCUAAGAAAUUUUAAAAUAAAAAAUCAUUUCCUUUGUCCUAGGGGUUUUGAUUUUGAUGAGUGUCUUAGCAUGACCAAAAACAAUUUGGAGAGGAAAGGGUUUAUUUCCUCUUACAGUUUACUGGGCAGAAAUUUAAGCCAGGAACUGAAGCAGAGGCCUUAGAGGAACUAUACUGUCUCACUACUGAGGUAACACAGUUCACUCAGCCUGUUUUCCUGGACAACCCAGGACCACUGGCCCAGGGGUAACACUGUCCUUAGUGACCUGGGAUAUCACUGAUAAUGGAUCACUACUACUACUACUACUACUACUACUACUACUACU